GUGAAUCAUCGAAUCUUUGAACGCAAAUUGCGCUUCCUAGCAUCCCGGGAAGUAUGCCUGUUUGAGGGUCAGUAUUAACAAAAAAAUCGGUUUGGUUGCAAAUUGUGACGUUUCCGGAGUUUGGGCUAUCUUAACUUUUUUGGUUAAGGGGCUUAAAAUUGACCUUUUUUGCGCAUUUUUUGACGUACAUUAAUUUUUUUUUUUUUUGCCUUUUUCUUAUUCCCAAAUUCUUUUAAAUUGCA
rnacentral:misc_RNA from 1 species